AUGGAGUACGUGGCUUCAUUGUGUCCAGCCAGAUAUAGCCCUUCAACUUUACUUUCCCAUUCUCUCUCUCUGAACCGAAUCACACCACCACGCCAUUGCUCCCCUCUCUCUCUCUCUCUCUCUCUAGAACGAAAUCCUCAUCGCCAUCACGCCAGUACUCCGUGAAUCGGAGAAGAUAAGGGACGUUGAGUUUGAGAGAUUUCGGGAAUGGAAACAUCAAAUCGCGAUGAAAAGGUCGCGAUACAUGCAUUGAUGGACUCGCGAUUUUGUUGAUGAAUUUACCAUAGGAUACCAACGGGGCUACCAUGGUUUCUAGGGUUAAUUGCACGAACUUGUUAUGGAAGGAGUUGGUUGCUCAGAACAAGUGCAAUUUAGCAGAUUUGCAAGUCCUGAAAUUGUUGUUUUGUACGCGAUUUAGCCAAAGGAUGUGUAUGGAUGGAAGAAUGUUUUGUUUACAUUACGCCUCCGUGCACUCAUGAGUCUCACGCUUAUUCUCGCACCCACGAUCCAUAUACAUGGGUUAAAUACGUGUCUAGCGAGCCCAUACUUCCCAACCAACCCAAUGAAGGAAUGAGAAAAUCGGAAUGAGACAAAAGAGGGCAUUUAUAUUGCUAAAAGAUUUUGAGUUGAUAAAAGGUGUAAACCUUGACCCAAUACCAUUUGACAUGGACUGAGAUCUUCUCAUCCCCCAAUUUCCAAGAAGAAGAGGGACAAGUUUCUCAAAUACUAUCAGGUAAGCUCCUCUAAUCUAUGCACUUAGAUUAGUCAAAGACUGAGACAAGUGGAGAAGUACCAUGUAACAAUGUUUGGUUAUUCAAUAACUAAUUUACGUGUUUUGUAGCAGCCUAUGUUUCAAGGAGUGCUUCUGGUUUCUGACUUUAUUAUUUGUAUACUUAGAGUCUAGAAGAUCAACAUUGUGUGGGGGGCUCAUCAUUGUGUUCUGAACCCCGUAACCUAAUGAAGUGGGUAGGAGUAUUGUUGGCUAUGAGAAUGUCCAUGAUGAAAUCCAAGCUGACUAAGUGAAACGCCUUCAUAAGAUCAACCUUUAUGGCGCACCGCGGGGAACCUUGAAGCCUAUCAUUCAAACAUUCCAGUUUUGUUGUCUCUAUAUUUUUUGAUAGUUGAUUUCACUUACAUUUACUAGACUCAAAUACUUGUACAAUUCCACAAACAUUCAACAUCGCUCUCCUCAACGGGCAUAAACAACUGACACACUAAGAGCUUUUGCUUUGUCUAAUUAGAAUAAACUCUACCUUUUGCUAUGUCUAAUCCUUUGGCAAUUGUUUAAAAAAUCCUAUAGCCAAAGUCAUGCAUGUAGCUGAAUAACUUGAAACCUUUUUUUUAGUGCAAAAGCUUAUCUAGGCCAUAACUUCUACAACUACCAACUUUUGAUCAUACACUUGAUCAAGCUUAUCCAUAUAACCUUUGCUAUGAUCAACAACAGCCAUAACUUAAAUGAAAUCCAAAACACAUCUAUACAACGGGCAUGAAUGACGUGCUGUGCACGUCGGCAUGCACCUAGUUUAUCAUACAAGCAUCUCUGUCAAGUGAAAUAACAACCUCUUAACAAUGUUGGUCCAAAAUACGGCUCACAUAUAACCAAACUUAACACCCUCUUAACAAUAACCAAAUUUUGACUUUUGGAUGAUAAAAACUAGCAACAUUUUUCAAUAAACAAAAUUUGUGGAUUCCACGCCACGAAAGUUAACUGGUUGCUGAUUGUAUCUCAUGCGUGUUUUAAAUGGCUGCUAAUUGCAUGACUUCAACUCCAAAACGCACAUUCUCUAUCUUCCUUUCUUUUCAAUUUGACAGUUUUUUUUUUCAAUUUGAUAGUUAACCCAAACUAUUUCUCUUUCUUUCCCUAAAAAAGUGUAGCUCGUAUCUUUCGAUCAACUACAAUUCAACCCAUCGUUUUCAGAUUAAAGUACUUUACUCUUCUUUCCCGUUUCUUUUCUGUCAUGAGCUCAAUAGAUAGCUGGCAGUAAUUCUGUUUCAGUUCCAUUUCCAUUCUGUUUCUUCCUUUAUUUCCGUGUAUAAAGAGUGGAAGGUGCGAGGAGAGGAGCAUGCUUUGUAAUGGAAGGUGCGAGGAGGGGGAGAAUAGUGAAAGCGGCGGGUAGGGUUUGAAAAUUUUUAGAGAGAGAUAGAGAUGGAGAGAGAGGAAACUUCAAUUGCCCGUUUUAGGAGUAGGAGUAAAUUAGGAUCCAAAGCACGGGAUAUCACAACGGAGCAUGAUGAGCCCACAUAGGAGGAACCCCUACACACCGGCAAUCACAUGCCGCUAGGACCCAAAGGAAAAAAACACCAAACCGCAAAUAACAAGAAGCUAGCCAAGACACCGAAACCACCACCACCACCACCCCCACACCCCCCCCCCCCCCCCCCCCCCAAAAAAAAAAAAAGAAAAAGAAAAAGAAAAA